rnacentral:rRNA from 1 species
AUGCUGGUUAAAUUGAAGGAUGGGCGGUGGGAAGUAACCCACUUUGUCCGUGAUCAUAAUCAUCCUUUGGUCCCCAAGCCUUCGCUCUCCAAAUACUUGCGAUCUCACAUGGGUAUACCGCCGGAGGAAAAGAAGUUCCUAGAGAUACUCUACAACUGCAACCUAACUUCAGGCCGUAUGAUGACUAUCAUGUCAGAGUUUUAUGGCUCGGAGCUAAAUGUACCAUAUGGGCCUAAAGCAAUAACAAACUUAUGUGCUGGCUUCUCCAAAGACUCAACGAAAGAGGGGGGCAUUAUUGAGACAAUUGAACAUUUUAAAGAGUUGCAAAAAGAUGAUCCAGACUUUUUCUAUAAGAUAAAAUAUGAUCCCGAAGGAAGGGCAGAAAACAUUUUUUGGGUGAAUGGCUUGGCAUGGAAAGCUUAUACGGAGGCAUAUCAUGAUUGUGUCUCCUUUGACACAACCUACAUGACCAAUAUGUACAACAUGCCUUUUGCUCCGUUCAUUGGAAUCAAUUGUCAUGGGUAA